rnacentral:rRNA from 1 species
CGGGGCUUAAAGUCUUGUAAUUGGAAUGAUGGGAAUUUAAACCUCUUCCAGAGUAUCAAUUGGAGGGCAAGUCUGGUGCCAGCAGCCGCGGUAAUUCCAGCUCCAAUAGCGUAUAUUAAAAUUGUUGCAGUUAAAAAGCUCGUAGUUGAAUUUCUGCUGCAUUGCUUGUGUCCCUCUGGGGUCUGUGCAUGUGGCUUUUUUCGGACGGAGUUUCUUUGUCUGAAUGUUUACUUUGAGAAAAUUAGAGUGCUCAAAGCAGGCUUUCACCUUGAAUAGUUUAGCAUGGAAUAAUAAAGUAGGACUUUGGUUCUAUUUUGUUGGUUUUAGGUACCAAAGUAAUGGUUAAUAGGAACAGUUGGGGGCAUUCGUAUUUAACUGUCAGAGGUGAAAUUCUUAGAUUUGUUAAAGACGAACUACUGCGAAAGCAUUUGCCAAGGAUGUUUUCAUUAAUCAAGAAC